GAUGAACGCUAGCUACAGGUCUUAACACAUGCAAGUCGAGGGGCAUCAGGAAGAAAGCUUGCUUUCUUUGCCGGCGACCGGCGCACGGGUGAGUAACACGUAUCCAACCUGCCCUUUACUCGGGGAUAGCCUUUCGAAAGAAAGAUUAAUACCCGAUGGCAUAAUGAUUCCGCAUGGUUUCAUUAUUAAAGGAUUCCGGUAAAGGAUGGGGAUGCGUUCCAUUAGGUUGUUGGUGAGGUAACGGCUCACCAAGCCUUCGAUGGAUAGGGGUUCUGAGAGGAAGGUCCCCCACAUUGGAACUGAGACACGGUCCAAACUCCUACGGGAGGCAGCAGUGAGGAAUAUUGGUCAAUGGGCGGUAGCCUGAACCAGCCAAGUAGCGUGAAGGAUGAAGGCUCUAUGGGUCGUAAACUUCUUUUAUAUAAGAAUAAAGUGCAGUAUGUAUACUGUUUUGUAUGUAUUAUAUGAAUAAGGAUCGGCUAACUCCGUGCCAGCAGCCGCGGUAAUACGGAGGAUCCGAGCGUUAUCCGGAUUUAUUGGGUUUAAAGGGAGCGUAGGUGGACUGGUAAGUCAGUUGUGAAAGUUUGCGGCUCAACCGUAAAAUUGCAGUUGAUACUGUCAGUCUUGAGUACAGUAGAGGUGGGCGGAAUUCGUGGUGUAGCGGUGAAAUGCUUAGAUAUCACGAAGAACUCCGAUUGCGAAGGCAGCUCACUGGACUGCAACUGACACUGAUGCUCGAAAGUGUGGGUAUCAAACAGG
rnacentral:rRNA from 1 species